UACAGAGGGUGCGAGCGUUGUCCGGAAUCACUGGGCGUAAAGGGCGCGUAGGUGGCCCGACAAGUCAGUGGUGAAAGUUCGACGCUUAACGUCGAAUCGGCCACUGAUACUGUUGGGCUGGAGCACUGUAGAGGCUCAUGGAAUUCCGGGUGUAGCGGUGGAAUGCGUAGAGAUCCGGAAGAACACCGGUGGCGAAGGCGGUGAGCUGGGCAGUUGCUGACACUGAGCGCGACAGC
rnacentral:rRNA from 1 species